ncrna:unclassified sequences malK-I RNA
UUCCCACCCGGCCCGGCACUCCACUUUCUGCCGGAUCGAGGUGAAAAAAGGAGGAAGAUCCGCCCGGCUCGCGGCGCGGCAGUGUGGAGACCUGCCGUGGAGGCGUAUCGGCUUUCCGCCGGACGUGAGGAGGCAGACGCGGAGGCGCUACCCCCAGAGCCCACUGCUAUGGCA